UACGUAGGGGGCGAGCGUUGUCCGGAGUUACUGGGCGUAAAGGGCACGCAGGCGGUCUGCUAAGUUUGGAGUGACAGUACCCGGCUCAACCGGGUGAGGCCUUCAAAGACUGGUGGACUUGAGGACUAGAGAGGGACAUAGAAUUCCGGGUGGAGUGGUGAAAUUCGUAGAUAUUCGGAAGAACACCAGUGGCGAAGGCGACUCACUGGACACAUAUUGACGCUGAGGUGCGAAAGCGUGGGGAGCAAACAGG
rnacentral:rRNA from 1 species